UACGUAGGAUGCAAGCGUUGUCCGGAUUUACUGGGCGUAAAGGGCGCGUAGGCGGCCAGCACAAGUCAGUUGUGAAAUCUCCGAGCUUAACUCGGAAAGGUCAACUGAUACUGUGCGGCUAGAGUGCGGAAGGGGCAACUGGAAUUCUUGGUGUAGCGGUGAAAUGCGUAGAUAUCAAGAGGAACACCUGCGGCGAAGGCGGGUUGCUGGGCCGACACUGACGCUGAUGCGCGAAAGCUAGGGGAGCGAACGGG
rnacentral:rRNA from 1 species